AUAGAAAAUGGACGGUUUGCAUCAAAUAAGGUCCAAUAAUCCAUGUGAAUAGUUCAUUUCAUAGAGUCCAUGUAGGUCGGACCACAUGUCUGCAAGGAACCAGUUUGAUCAGAUGGCCAUAACCAUCCCAGCCGGGGCUUGGGAAUCAAUGGUCGUGAAAAAGAGAGCCCAACAUUUGGAAGGUUAAAAUCCUCCUAUCAAAAUGGGUCAUUCAUGAUUGCCCAUGAGAAGCGGGGCAAAUGACAUGGGGUCCAGAUUGAUGAUUGGACCAUCCUGUGUCAUGUGGUGGCAGAUUAAGAGCAUAAAUGUGCCCUGGCUGCACAUGAGCUUUCCCUUAUAUAAAAAAAAAAUCAUCUCCUUGGCAAUGUGUCUUAGGCACGUCCUGGACAUUGGUGAUGAGGCAACAUAACAAUAAUACCCAGCCAGUCUUUUCCUUUUUCUCUGGUUUUAUUUUAUUAUAUUUUCUAAUAUACCUCAUUUUAUAUACAUCUAUGUACUGAUGCUUACAUGAUAUUACAAUAUUUUAUUUUAUAAUUUAACUGCACACAGAUAUAAAAAGAAUGAUAUGCAGGCAUGAGUGCCGGUAUUCAAGCUUUAAAGGGAGCAUCGUGUUUAUCUAAUGCUGAAGGUUUCUUCUAGUCUUGAGUAUUUUUAGUUCAUCGCCAACCAAAUCAGGGCCCAAAAUAUCAAUGUAUCAAUGGUUAAGAUCAGUUUGGAUCGAUGAACCAUGCGUCACACUUGUACAAGAUGAAAAUCUGAAAGGGUACUCUACAAACUCUCUGCCCGAGCCUUUUUAAGGAUUUACAUUGUUCCAAGGAGGAACAUGAGUUCUGCACCGGAGUGAUGGCUCUUUCCCCAAAGCCAGGGAUCCAUUGGCAACCACACCAUCACACACAAACACAUACAAGAACAUAAAAAAUAGGUAUUUAUGCCUUGCCAAGUGGUUAUGAUACUCACCUCCUGUAUUGAACCGGCACAAUAUCAGCUUUUUUCUCUGCGAUUUCCAUGAAAGCUGACUCGGACAUCUCAAAGUGCUCUCUGGGGUAGUUGCACCAGCCACCAUAAUCGCUGGGGAGCCCGUAAUUUGGAGGGCAGAAAUCUGUCGCGGUGACAAUAACAGAAGGGCUCCCUUGCAGACACCAGAGGAUAUGGUCCACGCAUCUCAGCUCAAAGCAGCUGCCGCAGGUACUCCCUCUGUUAAACAACCCAGUACUUAACCCAGCACUGUAUUUUCCAUAGCUCUUCUUGUGAAGAUCUCCAUAUCCACAGGCACCUCCUAUAAUAAUUAGAAAAGAAAAAGAAAAAAGAAAAUAUCAGUUUGACAGAACUGAAACAUGGGUCCGGUUUUGCAAAUACAGAUACAAAAUGUAAUUUGGAAAACUGCAUUUUUUUGAUUGCCUUUGUGCUCAUAGAACAUUAGAACCCGAA